UACGUAGGGGGCUAGCGUUGUCCGGAAUCAUUGGGCGUAAAGCGCGUGUAGGCGGCCCGGUAAGUCCGCUGUGAAAGUCGGGGGCUCAACCCUCGAAAGCCCGGUGGAUACUGUCGGGCUAGAGUACGGAAGAGGCGAGUGGAAUUCCUGGUGUAGCGGUGAAAUGCGCAGAGUAUCAGGAGGAACACCCAUUGCGAAGGCAGCUCGCUGGGACGUUAACUGACGCUGGAGACGCGAAAGCGUGGGAGCAAACAGG
rnacentral:rRNA from 1 species